rnacentral:rRNA from 1 species
GACGAACGCUGGCGGCGUGCUUAACACAUGCAAGUCGAACGGAAAGGCCCUUCGGGGUACUCGAGUGGCGAACGGGUGAGUAACACGUGGGUGAUCUGCCUCGUACUCUGGGAUAAGCCUGGGAAACUGGGUCUAAUACCGGAUAGGACCAUUCCUCGCAUGGGGGGUGGUGGAAAGUUUUUCGGUACGAGAUGGGCCCGCGGCCUAUCAGCUUGUUGGUGGGGUAAUGGCCUACCAAGGCGACGACGGGUAGCCGGCCUGAGAGGGCGACCGGCCACACUGGGACUGAGACACGGCCCAGACUCCUACGGGAGGCAGCAGUGGGGAAUAUUGCACAAUGGGCGCAAGCCUGAUGCAGCGACGCCGCGUGAGGGAUGACGGCCUUCGGGUUGUAAACCUCUUUCACCAGGGGCGAAUUUAGACGGUACCUGGAGAAGAAGCACCGGCCAACUACGUGCCAGCCGCCGCCGUAAAAC